rnacentral:rRNA from 1 species
AACGAACGCUGGCGGCGUGCCUAACACAUGCAAGUCGAACGAUGAAGCUGGAGCUUGCUCCGGUGGAUUAGUGGCGAACGGGUGAGUAACACGCGAGUAAUCUGCCCUUGACUCUGGGAUAACUGCGGGAAACUGUAGCUAAUACCGGAUACGACACCUUCCGGCAUCCGAUGGGGGUGGAAAGAAUUUCGGUCAAGGAUGAACCCGCGGCCUAUCAGCUAGUUGGUGAGGUAAUGGCUCACCAAGGCGACGACGGGUAGCCGGCCUGGGAGGGGGCCCGGCCACACUGGGACUGAGACACGGCCCAGACUCCUACGGGAGGCAGCAGUGGGGAAUAUUGCACAAUGGGCGAAAGCCUGAUGCAGCAACGCCGCGUGAGGGAUGAAGGCCUUCGGGUUGUAAACCUCUUUUAGUUGGGAAGAAGCGAAAGUGACGGUACCAACAGAAAAAGCACCGGCUAACUACGUGCCAGCCGCCGCCGUAACAC